rnacentral:piRNA from 1 species
UGGUCUGUUCAGAUUGUCUCAGGGCAUA